rnacentral:lncRNA from 1 species
UCAGUGCCUGGCAACUUUGGACUUAAGAGUAUCCGGUAGGUGCAAAACAUCAGCCAGGCACUUGGUGCCCAAAGCCUUUGAUUACACCCCAGCUGGACAUCUAGAGCCUGGACGUCAGCUUGGGGAAAACCACUUCUUAUGCAGAAAGUAAAGCCCAGCAAAGGCCACCAGUUCUAGAGGCUGGAAGUCCAAGAUCAAAGUGCCAGCAACAGGCCUUGGGAGGGCCUGCCUCCUGGUUCAUAGAUGGCCAUCGUCUCCCUAUGUCUUCACACGGUGGAAGGGGCAAGGAAGGCUUCCCCACACACCUGCCCUUUACUCUGCGGAGCCCAGCUUCCUACUGCAGUAAACUCUCACAUGGCCAAGAAGUUUCUCAGAGCUCUCCCAGAGCCAGCAUAGGGGCUGCUUACAAAAAGCCCUUGGAAGCUGCUUCACUGUGGAAUCCACUCCCGCUCCUUGCUACUGCCUACAGGACAAGCAGCCCUCCUUUUUUGUCCUGCCACUGUCUGGCUGCCCUCUAACCCUCUACUAAUUAAAGCCACCAUUUGCUAUU